UACGUAGGAGGCGAGCGUUGUCCGGAGUUACUGGGCGUAAAGGGAGCGCAGGCGGCCUGGUGCGUCGCGGGUGAAAUCUCCUGGCUCAACUGGGAGGGUGGUCGCGAGACGGCUGGGCUUGAGGCUCGGUGAGGGGCGUGGAAUUCCGGGUGGAGCGGUGAAAUGCGUAGAGAUCCGGAGGAACACCGACGGCGUAGGCAGCGCCCUAGACGAGACCUGACGCUCAGGCACGAAAGCGCGGGGAGCGAAUAGG
rnacentral:rRNA from 1 species